AAAAGAGAAAAUUCAUAAAAAAUAUCAAAUGAUGAAAUAAAAAAUAUUAAAACUCAUUUUUAGAAACUAGAAUUAAAAACAGAAAUAAUGCAAUUGGUCUCACAUUUUUUGGACCAAUGAUGAGUGAGAUAUGAGUUUUUUGAAAUGAAAUGGAAUAAAAGAAAUAAAAUGGAAAUUAAAAUCAGAAAAUAAAAAUAAGAAAAAACGUGAGGCGUUGGAUCAGGAGCUCAUUAAUUGAGCUGACACAUCACAUGGAUC
rnacentral:lncRNA from 1 species